rnacentral:rRNA from 1 species
AGCGAACGCUAGCGGCAGGCCUAACACAUGCAAGUCGAACGAACUCUUCGGAGUUAGUGGCGGACGGGUGAGUAACACGUGGGAACGUGCCUUUUGGUUCGGAAUAACUCAGGGAAACUUGUGCUAAUACCGAAUGUGCCCUUCGGGGGAAAGAUUUAUCGCCAUUAGAGCGGCCCGCGUCUGAUUAGCUAGUUGGUGAGGUAACGGCUCACCAAGGCGACGAUCAGUAGCUGGUCUGAGAGGAUGACCAGCCACACUGGGACUGAGACACGGCCCAGACUCCUACGGGAAGCAGCAGUGGGGAAUCUUGCGCAAUGGGCGAAAGCCUGACGCAGCCAUGCCGCGUGAAUGAUGAAGGUCUUAGGAUUGUAAAAUUCUUUCACCGGGGACGAUAAUGACGGUACCCGGAGAGGAAGCCCCGGCUAACUUCGUG